rnacentral:rRNA from 1 species
CCCUUAGAUGUUCUGGGCCGCACGCGUGCUACACUGAGUGGAUCAGCGGGUCAGGUUGCGCGAAAGUGUUUCCUAAUCUUGAAAUCCGCUCGUGAUGGGGAUUGACGGUUGCAAUUUUCCGUCAUGAACGAGGAAUACCUUGUAAGCGCGGGUCAUCAUCCCGCGCUGAAUACGUCCCUGCCCUUUGUACACACCGCCCGUCGCACCUACCGAUUGAAUGUUUCGGUGAAGAUUCCGGAUAGGACUUUUUUGAUUUAUUUCAAUUUUGUCUUAAAAGCUAUCUAAACCUCAACAUUUAGAGGAAGGUGAAGUCGUAACA